rnacentral:tRNA from 1 species
GCGGGAGUGCCAGAGUGGUCAAAUGGGUCACGUUAAGGCCGUGAUAGCUUAGUGCUUGCAUAGGUUCAAAUCCUAUCUCCCGCA